CCUACGGGGGGCAGCAGUAGGGAAUCUUGCACAAUGGGCGCAAGCCCGAUGCAGCGACGCCGCGUGCCCGACGACGGCCUACGGGUCGUAAAGGGCUUUUCUGGGGGAAGAGAAAGGACGGUACCCCAGGAAUAAGCCUCGGCUAACUACGUGCCAGCAGCCGCGGUGAUACGUAGGAGGCAAGCGUUAUCCGGAGUUACUGGGCGUAAAGCGCGUGCAGGCGGCCCGGUCUGUUGGACGUGAAAGCUCCCGGCUCAACUGGGAGAGGCCGUCCAAGACGGCCGGGCUUGAGGACGGGAGAGGGAGGUGGAAUUCCCGGUGGAGCAGUGAAAUGCCGUGAGAUCGGGAGGAACACCAAGGGCGAAAGCAGCCUCCUGGACCGUCCCUGACGCUCAGACGCGAAAGCUAGGGGAGCGAACGGGAUUAGAUACCCCGGUAGU
rnacentral:rRNA from 1 species